rnacentral:rRNA from 1 species
GAUGAACGCUAGCGGGAGGCCUAACACAUGCAAGCCGAGCGGUAUUAUUUCUUCGGAAAUGAGAGAGCGGCGUACGGGUGCGGAACACGUGUGCAACCUGCCUUUAUCUGGGGGAUAGCCUUUCGAAAGGAAGAUUAAUACUCCAUAAUAUAUUGAACGGCAUCGUUUAAUAUUGAAAGCUCCGGCGGAUAGAGAUGGGCACGCGCAAGAUUAGCUAGUUGGUGAGGUAACGGCUCACAAAGGCGAUGAUCUUUAGGGGGCCUGAGAGGGUGAUCCCCCAAACUGGUACUGAGACACGGACCAGACUCCUACGGGAGGCAGCAGUGAGGAAUAUUGGUCAAUGGGUGCAAGCCUGAACCAGCCAUCCCGCGUGAAGGACGACUGCCCUAUGGGUUGUAAACUUCUUUUGUAUAGGGAUAAACCUACCCCCGUGAGGGUAGCUGAAGGUACUAUACGAAUAAGCACCGGCUAACUCCGUGCCAGCAGCCGCCGUAAAUC